rnacentral:rRNA from 1 species
AUUGAACGCUGGCGGCAGGCCUAACACAUGCAAGUCGAGCGGAUGAAGGGAGCUUGCUCCUGGAUUCAGCGGCGGACGGGUGAGUAAUGCCUAGGAAUCUGCCUGGUAGUGGGGGAUAACGUCCGGAAACGGGCGCUAAUACCGCAUACGUCCUGGGAGAAAGUGGGGGAUCUUCGGACCUCACGCUAUCAGAUGAGCCUAGGUCGGAUUAGCUAGUUGGUGGGGUAAAGGCCUACCAAGGCGACGAUCCGUAACUGGUCUGAGAGGAUGAUCAGUCACACUGGAACUGAGACACGGUCCAGACUCCUACGGGAGGCAGCAGUGGGGAAUAUUGGACAAUGGGCGAAAGCCUGAUCCAGCCAUGCCGCGUGUGUGAAGAAGGUCUUCGGAUUGUAAAGCACUUUAAGUUGGGAGGAAGGGCAGUAAGUUAAUACCUUGCUGUUUUGACGUUACCAACAGAAUAAGCACCGGCUAACUUCGUG